AGUCUUUUCUGGUUCAUAAGCCUGGUGAUUGGAUGUUCACGCGUAUGUGUGACAUGACAGAUGCCUCCUUCAAAUCUUGUUACAACAUUUGCACAUUACCCAUCUGAUU